rnacentral:rRNA from 1 species
GACGAACGCUGGCGGCGUGCCUAAUACAUGCAAGUCGGGCGGGGUUUUGGGGAGCUUGCUCCUUAAAACCCAGCGGCGGACGGGUGAGUAACACGUGGGCAACCUGCCCGCAAGACCGGGAUAACUCCGGGAAACCGGGGCUAAUACCGGAUAGGACUCCGGAUCGCAUGAUCCGGGGUGGAAAGGUGGCCUUCGGCUGCCGCUUGCGGAUGGGCCCGCGGCGCAUUAGCUAGUUGGUGAGGUAACGGCUCACCAAGGUGACGAUGCGUAGCCGACCUGAGAGGGUGACCGGCCACACUGGGACUGAGACACGGCCCAGACUCCUACGGGAGGCAGCAGUAGGGAAUUUUCCGCAAUGGGCGAAAGCCUGACGGAGCAACGCCGCGUGAGCGAGGACGGCCUUCGGGUUGUAAAGCUCUGUUCUUCGGGAAGAAUGGCGGGAGGGUGAACAGCUCUCUCGUUUGACGGUACCGAAGGAGAAAGCCCCGGCUAACUACGUGCCAGCAGCCGCGGUAAUACGUAGGGGGCGAGCGUUGUCCGGAAUUAUUGGGCGUAAAGCGCGCGCAGGCGGCCGAUUAAGUCAGGUGUGAAAGGCUGCGGCUCAACCGCAGAGUUGCAUCUGAAACUGGUCGGCUUGAGUGCAGGAGAGGGGAGCGGAAUUCCCGGUGUAGCGGUGGAAUGCGUAGAGAUCGGGAGGAACACCAGUGGCGAAGGCGGCUCUCUGGCCUGUAACUGACGCUGAGGCGCGAAAGCGUGGGGAGCGAACAGGAUUAGAUACCCUGGUAGUCCACGCCGUAAACGAUGAGUGCUAGGUGUUGGGGGCAUCAGGCCCUCUGUGCCGAAGGAAACCCAAUAAGCACUCCGCCUGGGGAGUACGGCCGCAAGGCUGA